GAUUAUUUAACUAUAAUAAGUAUAUAUUUUGAAAAUAUAAAAAAGAAAAUUUUUCUAAUAAUCU
rnacentral:tRNA from 1 species